rnacentral:rRNA from 1 species
AUUGAACGCUGGCGGCAGGCCUAACACAUGCAAGUCGAGCGGAUGAAGGGAGCUUGCUCCUGAAUUCAGCGGCGGACGGGUGAGUAAUGCCUAGGAAUCUGCCUGGUAGUGGGGGAUAACGUCCGGAAACGGGCGCUAAUACCGCAUACGUCCUGAGGGAGAAAGUGGGGGAUCUUCGGACCUCACGCUAUCAGAUGAGCCUAGGUCGGAUUAGCUAGUUGGUGGGGUAAGGGCCUACCAAGGCGACGAUCCGUAACUGGUCUGAGAGGAUGAUCAGUCACACUGGAACUGAGACACGGUCCAGACUCCUACGGGAGGCAGCAGUGGGGAAUAUUGGACAAUGGGCGAAAGCCUGAUCCAGCCAUGCCGCGUGUGUGAAGAAGGUCUUCGGAUUGUAAAGCACUUUAAGUUGGGAGGAAGGGCAGUAAGUUAAUACCUUGCUGUUUUGACGUUACCAACAGAAUAAGCACCGGCUAACUUCGUG